rnacentral:lncRNA from 1 species
CACAAAUAGAUCAAUUAACUGAAUCUACCAUGAGGAGAAAACUAGGUCAAUUGCCAAACGAAUCAGCACCAAAUCUUAGGAACAAUCCAUCCACUCAUCAACCAUCUGGAUCUAGUCAUCAAUCCAAUGUCCCAUCUAAAAAUCCUCAAUUUGAAAAUGCCAAAGCAAUUACUGAACUUAGAAGUGAUAGGAUUCUUAAGGACCCAUACC